rnacentral:rRNA from 1 species
AGUGAACGCUGGCGGUAGGCCUAACACAUGCCAGUCGAACGGCAGCACAGUAAGAGCUUGCUCUUACGGGUGGCGAGUGGCGGACGGGUGAGGAAUACAUCGGAAUCUACUUUUUCGUGGGGGAUAACGUAGGGAAACUUACGCUAAUACCGCAUACGACCUACGGGUGAAAGCAGGGGAUCUUCGGACCUUGCGCGAUUGAAUGAGCCGAUGUCGGAUUAGCUAGUUGGCGGGGUAAAGGCCCACCAAGGCGACGAUCCGUAGCUGGUCUGAGAGGAUGAUCAGCCAAACUGGAACUGAGACACGGUCCAGACUCCUACGGGAGGAAGCAGUGGGGAAUAUUGGACAAUGGGCGCAAGCCUGAUCCAGCCAUACCGCGUGGGUGAAGAAGGCCUUCGGGUUGUAAAGCCCUUUUGUUGGGAAAGAAAAGCAGCAGGUUAAUACCCCGCUGUUCUGACGGUACCCAAAGAAUAAGCACCGGCUAACUUCGUG